rnacentral:rRNA from 1 species
AUGGGACCCUGCGGUGCAUUAGCUAGUUGGUAGGGUAACGGCCUACCAAGGCGAUGAUGCAUAGCCGAGUUGAGAGACUGAUCGGCCACAUUGGGACUGAGACACGGCCCCAAACUCCUACGGGAGGCAGCAGUAGGGAAUCUUCCACAAUGGACGCAAGUCUGAUGGAGCAACGCCGCGUGAGUGAAGAAGGGUUUCGGCUCGUAAAGCUCUGUUGUUGGUGAAGAAGGACGAGGGGUAGUAACUGUACCUUUGUUUGACGGUAAUCAAUUAGAAAGUCACGGCUAACUACGUGCCAGCAGCCGCGGUAAU